GCCCGGUUAGCUCAGUUGGUAGAGCAGAGGACUGAAAAUCCUCGUGUCUCUGGUUCAAUUCCGGAACCGGGCA
rnacentral:tRNA from 1 species